rnacentral:rRNA from 1 species
AGCGGCGGAUGGGUGAGUAACACGUGGGGAACCUGCCCCUAAGUCUGGGAUACCAUUUGGAAACAGGUGCUAAUACCGGAUAAUAAAGCAGAUCGCAUGAUCAGCUUUUGAAAGGCGGCGUAAGCUGUCGCUAAGGGAUGGCCCCGCGGUGCAUUAGCUAGUUGGUAAGGUAACGGCUUACCAAGGCGACGAUGCAUAGCCGAGUUGAGAGACUGAUCGGCCACAUUGGGACUGAGACACGGCCCAAACUCCUACGGGAGGCAGCAGUAGGGAAUCUUCCACAAUGGACGCAAGUCUGAUGGAGCAACGCCGCGUGAGUGAAGAAGGUUUUCGGAUCGUAAAGCUCUGUUGUUGGUGAAGAAGGAUAGAGGUAGUAACUGGCCUUUAUUUGACGGUAAUCAACCAGAAAGUCACGGCUGACUACGUGCCAGCAGCCGCGGUAAUACGUAGGUGGCAAGCGUUGUCCGGAUUUAUUGGGCGUAAAGCGAGCGCAGGCGGAAAAAUAAGUCUAAUGUGAAAGCCCUCGGCUUAACCGAGGAACUGCAUCGGAAACUGUUUUUCUUGAGUGCAGAAGAGGAGAGUGGAACUCCAUGUGUAGCGGUGGAAUGCGUAGAUAUAUGGAAGAACACCAGUGGCGAAAGCGGCUCUCUGGUCUGCAACUGACGCUGAGGCUCGAAAGCAUGGGUAGCGAACAGGAUUAGAUACCCUGGUAGUCCAUGCCGUAAACGAUGAGUGCUAAGUGU